UAGACUGGGAUCAGAACCAGACGGUAGC
rnacentral:piRNA from 1 species